GACGAACCGUGCGAACGUUGUUCGGAAUCACUGGGCUUAAAGGGCGCGUAGGCGGGCUGACAAGUCUGGGGUGAAAUCCCACGGCUCAACCGUGGAACUGCCUUAGAUACUGUCGGCCUCGAGGAAGGUAGGGGCAUGCGGAACUGUAGGUGGAGCGGUGAAAUGCGUAGAUAUCGUUUGGAACGCCAAAGGUGAAAACAGACAGCUGGGAGUGUGCUGACGCUGAGACACGAAAGCCAGGGGAGCGAACGGG
rnacentral:rRNA from 1 species